UAUUAACAAAAAUGAUUAUUAACAAAAACAUGCAAGGAAGUAUACGAAUUUGCGCAGAAAGAACAUUCCUGCUAUAGAAAAUCUCAAGGACUUCACACCGUCGCGAAAAAAGAAAAAAAGCAUCGGUUGUGGUCUAUGCAUUGCCGGAAAAUACAACUUAAGGACUCGGGUGCUAAUCACGUGCACAAUUUUGCACCUUGUGAUCAUCCCGGCCGUCAGUGUGAUAAUUCAUGCCCAUGUAUACAA